UUAGAGGAAGUAAAAGUCGUAACAAGGUCUCCGUAGGUGAACCUGCGGAGGGAUCAUUACACAAAUAUGAAGGCGGGCUGGAACCUCUCGGGGUUACAGCCUUGCUGAAUUAUUCACCCUUGUCUUUUGCGUACUUCUUGUUUCCUUGGUGGGUUCGCCCACCACUAGGACAAACAUAAACCUUUUGUAAUUGCAAUCAGCGUCAGUAACAAAUUAAUAAUUACAACUUUCAACAACGGAUCUCUUGGUUCUGGCAUCGAUGAAGAACGCAGCGAAAUGCGAUAAGUAGUGUGAAUUGCAGAAUUCAGUGAAUCAUCGAAUCUUUGAACGCACAUUGCGCCCUUUGGUAUUCCAAAGGGCAUGCCUGUUCGAGCGUCAUUUGUACCCUCAAGCUUUGCUUGGUGUUGGGCGUCUUGUCUCUAGCUUUGCUGGAGACUCGCCUUAAAGUAAUUGGCAGCCGGCCUACUGGUUUCGGAGCGCAGCACAAGUCGCACUCUCUAUCAGCAAAGGUCUAGCAUCCAUUAAGCCUUUUUUUCAACUUUUGACCUCGGAUCAGGUAGGGAUACCCGCUGAACUUAAGCAUA
rnacentral:rRNA from 1 species